GUGCAUUGUUGCUGUUGAUCUUGUUGCUCUGUGCUGAUGUGCAGCCAAUGUUGUUGUUCUUGUUUACCCACGCCUUUCACCCGCGCCAUCACAAUCCUCUGUGUUUCAGGAGUUGCUAAGGAAUAAAUACUUACAACAUAAACUAGCAGAUUUGGAAUUAUUGAAGGAAAAGGAGAUUUGUGUUGGAAAAUUG